GACGAACGCUGGCGGCGUGCCUAAUACAUGCAAGUCGAGCGAUGAUUAAAGAUAGCUUGCUAUUUUUAUGAAGAGCGGCGAACGGGUGAGUAACGCGUGGGAAAUCUGCCGAGUAGCGGGGGACAACGUUUGGAAACGAACGCUAAUACCGCAUAACAAUGAGAAUCGCAUGAUUCUUAUUUGAAAGAAGCAAUUGCUUCACUACUUGAUGAUCCCGCGUUGUAUUAGCUAGUUGGUAGUGUAAAGGACUACCAAGGCGAUGAUACAUAGCCAACCUGCGAGGGUGAUCGGCCACACUGGGACUGAGACACGGCCCAGACUCCUACGGGAGGCAGCAGUAGGGAAUCUUCGGCAAUGGGGGCAACCCUGACCGAGCAACGCCGCGUGAGUGAAGAAGGUUUUCGGAUCGUAAAACUCUGUUGUUAGAGAAGAACGUUAAGUAGAGUGGAAAAUUACUUAAGUGACGGUAUCUAACCAGAAAGGGACGGCUAACUACGUGCCAGCCACCGCAGUAA
rnacentral:rRNA from 1 species